CAGGCCUAACACAUGCAAGUCGAGCGCAUGUCUUCGGACAUGAGCGGCAGACGGGUGAGUAACACGUGGGAAUCUACCUUUUGCUACGGAACAACUCCGGGAAACUGGAGCUAAUACCGUAUGUGCCCUUCGGGGGAAAGAUUUAUCGGCAAGGGAUGAGCCCGCGUCGGAUUAGCUAGUUGGUGGGGUAAAGGCCUACCAAGGCGACGAUCCGUAGCUGGUCUGAGAGGAUGAUCAGCCACACUGGGACUGAGACACGGCCCAGACUCCUACGGGAGGCAGCAGUGGGGAAUAUUGGACAAUGGGCGAAAGCCUGAUCCAGCCAUGCCGCGUGAGUGAUGAAGGCCUUAGGGUUGUAAAGCUCUUUUAUCCGGGAAGAUAAUGACUGUACCGGAAGAAUAAGCCCCGGCUAACUUCGUGCCAGCAGCCGCGGUAAU
rnacentral:rRNA from 1 species